GUUCGGAUCGCAGGCUGCAACCCGCCUGCGUGAAGUUGGAAUCGCUAGUAAUCGCGGAUCAGCAUGCCGCGGUGAAUACGUUCCCGGGCCUUGUACACACCGCCCGUCACACCAUGAGAGUCGGGAACACCCGAAGUCCGUAGCCUAACCGCAAGGGGGGCGCGGCCGAAGGUGGGUUCGAUAAUUGGGGUGAAGUCGUAACAAGGUAGC
rnacentral:rRNA from 1 species